rnacentral:rRNA from 1 species
CGGCGUGCCUAACACAUGCAAGUCGAGCGAGAAAACUCCUUCGGGAGUUAGUAAAGCGGCGAACGGGUGAGCAACGCGUGAGAAUCUACCCUUUAGUGAAGAAUAUCUCCGAGAAAUCGGGGUUAAUACUGCAUAAGUCCCUUCGGGGAGAAAGAUGGCCUCUUUGCUAUCGCUAGAGGAUGAGCUUGCGUACUAUUAGCUAGUUGGCGGGGUAAUGGCCCACCAAGGCUUUGAUGGUUAACCGGCCUGAGAGGGUGUACGGUCACACUGGAACUUAGACACGGUCCAGACUCCUACGGGAGGCAGCAGUGAGGAAUCUUGCGCAAUGGGCGAAAGCCUGACGCAGCGACGCCGCGUGGAGGAUGAAGGUCUUAGGAUUGUAAACUCCUGUUAAGCGGGAAGAAAAGCCUAUUUCUAGUACAGAUAGGUUAAGACGGUACCGCUAGAGAAAGCACCGGCUAACUUCGUGCCAGCAGCCGCGGUAAUACGAGGGGUGCAAGCGUUAUUCGGAUUAAUUGGGCGUAAAGGGUGUGCAGACGGUUUAUUAAGUCACUUGUUAAAUUCUUCGGCCUAACUGAAGGUAUGCGCGUGAUACUGAUGAACUAGAGGGUGGAAGAGAGAAGUGGAAUUCUCGGAGUAGCGGUAAAAUGCGUAGAUCUCGAGAGGAACACCAAUGGCGAAGGCAGCUUCUUGGUCC